GUUGUUACCGUUUUCAACACCAUAACUCCACUUUUGUUUUGUUUUUCUUCAAUAGGUAAGUUACCACAUUUGUAUUAAUUAAGUCAUGUUUAACACGAAACAGAAGUCUUCAGAACAUGGAUUGACCAAUCGAAGUAGGAAGAGUGUUGGUUGGGGAGACCUGAUAGUGUGUUUAGAGGAGUUUUGACAACUCAAAAGGAAGACCUCCAUUUUGUCAGUGUCCUCACCCUCUUUUUCGGAUCCAAAACCCCAUUUUCCCCACCAAUUAAAGGGGGAAAAAAGAAGAACCUAACAGAUUGUCAAAGGCUACACCAAAACUUUGUCCACAGGCUAUGCUGGAGGAUGCUAAGAAGGGCUGCAAAAGGCUGCAUUAAAGAACAUUGAAAGCGUAAAGGAGGAAGCACGUGGACACGUGAAGAACCAGAAAUGGAGAAAUCAAUGAAAGCAACGCUGAAAAAGGCCCACCUUAGCCUUGUUUAUCUUAACAGAGAAGAACACUGGGCAAGGAAAAAAGUGUGAUAUUAUAAGAUAAGUUGACCAAUUACGUUACGAACUGGCGAACAGAACGAAACUCCUCAGUAAGUAGAAGGAUUGGAUGGGAGCAAUUCAAGUCAAGCUAGACAAGUUCUCUGAGAUCUUCUCUUUUGGUUACUCUCAUAUGUGGGGAAACUAUUGAACUUAUACUUGAUUCGGAAUAGACAAGAUUGAUGUACUAAUAUCUACAAAUGA